CGCUCCGCCCCGACGCUGAGCAAGAGCCUUGGCGGGGUGGCGUCUCCAAGGGUCGCUCACCGGCGGGCGGGGCCCGGCGCUGUCCCGGGCAGCUCCGACACAGGGAGGGUCACGAAAGCCGCAGUCCCGAGAGCCGGUUGCUGAGGAAAGUCGUGUACCGUCUUCAUCAUCCCUCGACUGAGCAACCUUCUGCUCGCCAGCCGUCCCCGACACUCAGGGUGUGGGGAGAGGAAUGAAGUGCACGGUAGACCACACGCCGGGCAGCGGGAAAGUCUUUCCGACUGUAAUGUAGAACCUCCUGCCCUCUAGAAGAAAACUUCCUGGCAGAGUCUCUUGCCCCGCACCUGGCUGUCUUCACCGGAGCCCCUCAGAGUGGGUGGUUUGAGUUUCCCUCCCUGCCCCAAGCAGAGCUCCCAUGGCCGAAGACCUGCAGAACCCAGCCACAGCCAUGCUCAAGGCCCCCUCCACAUGUUCGGAUGAGCCUCACGCAUGAAGGAACCGGCAGAGGAACCCAGUAUAAAAGGAGCUUCCUCCUGACUUUGUGCUCUGGAUCAGGCUAGGAUGGUGAUCUCAUGGAGAGGCAGAGAUUGAAC